GAUGAACGCUGGCGGCGUGCCUAAUACAUGCAAGUCGAGCGAAUGGAUUAAGAGCUUGCUCUUAUGAAGUUAGCGGCGGACGGGUGAGUAACACGUGGGUAACCUGCCCAUAAGACUGGGAUAACUCCGGGAAACCGGGGCUAAUACCGGAUAACAUUUUGAACCGCAUGGUUCGAAAUUGAAAGGCGGCUUCGGCUGUCACUUAUGGAUGGACCCGCGUCGCAUUAGCUAGUUGGUGAGGUAACGGCUCACCAAGGCAACGAUGCGUAGCCGACCUGAGGGGGUGAUCGGCCACACUGGGACUGAGACACGGCCCAGACUCCUACGGGAGGCAGCAGUAGGGAAUCUUCCGCAAUGGACGAAAGUCUGACGGAGCAACGCCGCGUGAGUGAUGAAGGCUUUCGGGUCGUAAAACUCUGUUGUUAGGGAAGAACAAGAGCUAGUUGAAUAAGCUGGCACCUUGACGGUACCUAACUAGAAAGCCACGGCUAACUACGUGCCAGCCGCCGCGGUAA
rnacentral:rRNA from 1 species